GGAAGUAAAAGUCGUAACAAGAUUUCUGUAGGUGAACCUGCGGAAGGAUCAUUAUUGUAUAACCGAGGUGCGAGGGCUGUCGCUGACCCGAAAGGUCGUGCACGCCCGAGUGCCCACACACACAUCCAUCUCACCCCUAUGUGCACCACCGCGUGGGUCCCCCUUUGGCUUGUUCGGAGGGGGGCUUACGUUUUCACACAAACUUUGUAUGCAGUGUAGAAUGUAUUUUUUGUUUUUGCGAUCACGCAAUCAAUACAACUUUCAACAACGGAUCUCUUGGCUCUC
rnacentral:misc_RNA from 1 species